rnacentral:lncRNA from 1 species
GCCUCUCGCAAAGGAUCUCCUUCAUCCCUCUCCAGAAGAGGAGAAGAGGAAACACAAGAAAAAGCGCCUGGUGCAGAGCCCUAAUGCCUACUUUAUGGAUAUGAAAUGCCCAGGAUUCUAUAAAAUCACCACAGUCUUUAGCCAUGCACAAACGGGAGUCUUGUGUGUUGGCUGCUCCACUGUACUCUGUCAGCCUACAGGUGGAAAAACAAGGCUGACAGAAGGAUGCUCCUUCAGGAGGAAGCAGCACUGAAAGCCCCUGAUUCAAGAUGAGUGGGAACCUUCCCAAUAAGCACAUUUUGGAUAUAACAAAAAGAAAGAAA